rnacentral:rRNA from 1 species
CAGAGAGAGACAUGCGCGCAUAUCAAUAAGCGGAGGAAAAGAAACUAACAAGGAUUCCCCUAGUAACGGCGAGUGAAGCGGGAAGAGCUCAAAUUUGAAAUCUUAAAGGGUUUCCCUUUACGAAUUGUAGUUUAAAGAAGUGUUUUCUGUUGAGGUUUUGGUAAAAGUUCUUUGGAAUAGGACAUCAUAGAGGGUGAGAAUCCCGUAUUUGACCUUUACUUUCAACUUUGUGAUACACUUUCAAAGAGUCGGAUUGUUUGGGAAUGCAGUCCAAAAUGGGUGGUAAAUUUCAUCUAAAGCUAAAUAUUGGCGAGAGACCGAUAGCGAACAAGUACCGUGAGGGAAAGAUGAAAAGAACUUUGAAAAGAGAGUUAAACAGUACGUGAAAUUGUCAAAAAGGAAGCGUUUGACACCAGUGUUGUUUUUCUGAAAAUCAAUUAAAGAACUGUUUAUGCUAAGCUGUUUAGACUUUAUCAGCUAACUGUUUAGUUUUGAGCUUUUCUUUAAUGCACUUUUCAGUUAACAAGUCAACAUCAAUUUCUUUUGCUGUAAAAAAGCUUGAGGAAGGUGGCUUGAGAUUCGUCUUAAGUGUUUAUAGCCUCUUGCCUAUGCAGUCGGAGAGAUUGAGGUCUGCAGCGUAGAUCCUUCGGGGCUAAAUGCAUUUGUGCUAAGUUAUAGCAUUUUAUAGACAACUUGUUGACUAUGAUUUGUCUUGUAGCUUACUCGCUUAUGUUAUUUUACCUACGCUUAGGAUGUUGACGCAUGAGAUAUACGC